rnacentral:ncRNA from 1 species
GUAGAGCCACAACCGUGCUUGUGGGUGCGAUUUAAGCCGGACAAACUCUCCACAUAGGAGGGGAGAGCAACAUCGGC